rnacentral:rRNA from 1 species
AGAGUUUGAUCCUGGCUCAGGAUGAACGCUGGCGGCGUGCCUAACACAUGCAAGUCGAACGAGAACCCAUUCUUCGGAUUGGGGGACAGUGGCGAACGGGUGAGUAACACGUUGGUGACCUGCCCCGAAGCGGGGGACAACCACGGGAAACUGUGGCUAAUACCGCAUAUGCUCCAGAGAGUUAGAGAUCUCUGGAGUAAAGCUCCGGCGCUUCGGGAGGGGCCUGCGGCCUAUCAGCUAGUUGGUGGGGUAAUGGCCUACCAAGGCUAAGACGGGUAGGGGGCGUGAGAGCGCGGCCCCCCACAAUGGAACUGAGACACGGUCCAUACUCCUACGGGAGGCAGCAGUGAGGAAUAUUGCGCAAUGGGGGCAACCCUGACGCAGCAACGCCGCGUGGGUGAUGAAGGCCUUCGGGUCGUAAAACCCUUUUCUGGGGGACGAGAAAGGACGGUACCUCAGGAAUAAGUCCCGGCUAACUACGUGCCAGCAGCCGCGGUAAAACGUAGGGGGCAAGCGUUAUCCGGAUUUACUGGGCGUAAAGCGCGUGCAGGCGGCUUGGUAGGUUGGACGUGAAAGCUCCUGGCUCAACUGGGAGAGGCCGUUCAAUACCGCCAGGCUCGAGGACGGAAGAGGGGAGUGGAAUUCCCGGUGUAGUGGUGGAAUGCGUAGAUAUCGGGAGGAACACCUGUGGCGAAGGCGACUCCCUGGUCCGUACCUGACGCUAAGACGCGAAAGCGUGGGGAGCGAACGGGAUUAGAUACCCCGGUAGUCCACGCUGUAAACGAUGGAUGCUAGGUGUGGGUGGUAUUGACCCCAUCCGUGCCGUAGCUAACGCGUUAAGCUCCCCGCCUGGAUAUGCCCGCCUU